UGGAAGUAAAAGUCGUAACAAGGUUUCCGUAGGUGAACCUGCGGAAGGAUCAUUCACAAGAUUAUAAUAUUUUAUUACUUUGUGGAAAAUUUGGUUGAAUUUACAUGUUUUAUUACAAAAAAUUAAUUAUAAUUAAAAAAAUAAUUUUAAGAAAACCUCCAACAACGGAUCUCUUGGUUCCCAGAUCGAUGAAGAGCGCAGCGAAUUGCGAAAUGUGAUGUGUAUUGCAGUGAAUCAUCAAUUCUUGAACGCACAUGGCACCCCUUUUAGGGGUAUGCUUGUAUGAGGGUGUUUAAUAUGAAAUUGCUUUGGCUUUUUUUAAAUAAAUGGUUUUUCAAACAUUGUUACUAAUAAAGAUGAAAGAAUCAGUGCAACAAGCUGUGUUGAAUCUUUCAAUUAAAAUCUUUUUUAGUUAACAUUUUUUAACUAUUUACGCCUCAUAUCAAGCAAGACUACCCGCUGAACUUAAGCAUAUCAAUAAGCGGAGGAAAAGAAACCAACAGGGAUUGCCUUAGUAACGGCGAGUGAAGCGGCAAAAGCUCAAUUUGAAAUCGCUUCGGCGAGUUGUAAGUAAAGUGGUUAGACGCUUUUUAAUAAGUCCCUUGGAACAGGGCGCCAUAGAGGGUGAUAGCCCCGUAU
rnacentral:misc_RNA from 1 species